GAUGGUGUAGCUCAAGUGGCAGAGCACAUGCUUAGCAGGCACGAGGCCCGGGGAUCAAUCCCCAGCACCUCCU
rnacentral:tRNA from 1 species